ensembl:snRNA U6 U6 spliceosomal RNA
AUAUACAUCUACUCUAUACCCACAAAAAUUUUUUUAAAAAGAGAUCAGCAUGGCCCCUGAACAAGGAUGACAGGCAAAUUCAUGAAGUGUUUCAUAUUUUU